AUAUCAAUAAGCGGAGGAAAAGAAACCAACAGGGAUUGCCUCAGUAACGGCGAGUGAAGCGGCAAAAGCUCAAAUUUGAAAUCUCCUUCGGGCGAGUUGUAAUUUGAAGAGGAUGCUUUGGAAGAUUAGAGGUACAAGUUCCUUGGAACAGGACAUCAUAGAGGGUGAGAAUCCUGUAUGUGAUCUCAUAAUCAACCGUGUAGAGCUCCUUCGACGAGUCGAGUUGUUCGGGAAUGCAGCUCUAAAUGGGAGGUAUAUUCCUUCUAAAGCUAAAUACCGGCCAGAGACCGAUAGCGCACAAGUA
rnacentral:rRNA from 1 species